AAUAAUUAUACAAAUUUAAUGAUAGACUUCAAUAUAGCGAGAGUACCGGUUUGACAGAAUAAAACAUAACCAAAGAUAAUAGAAAAUAAGGAUGCCGGCUAUGUUUAUGGUUCCCGUAUAUUCUAUGUUCUUUGUGAUAACGACAGUGCUGCCAUGUUUGUAUGAAAAAUU